rnacentral:rRNA from 1 species
AAGUCGUAACAAGGUUUCCGUAGGUGAACCUGCGGAAGGAUCAUUACCGAGUUCAUGCCCUUACGGGUAGAUCUCCCACCCUUUGUAUACUAUACCUUUGUUGCUUUGGCGGGCCGCCUAGCUACUGGCUUCGGCUGGUAUGUGCCCGCCAGAGGACCCAAAACCCUGAAUUAUUAGUGUCGUCUGAGUAAAAUAUUUAAUAUUUAAAACUUUCAACAACGGAUCUCUUGGCUCUGGCAUCGAUGAAGAACGCAGCGAAAUGCGAUAAGUAAUGUGAAUUGCAGAAUUCAGUGAAUCAUCGAAUCUUUGAACGCACAUUGCGCCCCUUGGUAUUCCGAGGGGCAUGCCUAUUCGAGCGUCAUUAUCACCCCUCAAGCCUAGCUUGGUGUUGAGGCCUGCUGUCAAGGCAGCCUCUAAAAUCAGUGGCAGUGCUGUCAGGCUCUAAGCGUAGUAAAUCUAAUCGCUAUAGACACCUGGUGGACACUCGCCAGAACCCCCCCAUUUUUUAAUGAUUGACCUCGGAUUAGGUAGGGAUACCCGCUGAACUUAA